rnacentral:rRNA from 1 species
AGUCGAACGCAGUAGCAAUACUGAGUGGCAAACGGGUGAGUAUAAUGUGGGAAUCUGCCUUUUGGUUCGGAAUAACACGAGUAAACUUGUGCUAAUACCGGAUAAGCCCUAACGGGGAAAGUUUUAAUGCCAAAAGAUGAGCCCGCACUUGAUUAGCUAGUUGGUAAGGUAAAGGCUUACCAAGGCAACGAUCAAUAGCUGUUCUUAGAGGAAGACCAGCCACAUUGGGACUGAGACACGGCCCAAACUCC